rnacentral:rRNA from 1 species
AAGCGGCGGAGCAUGUGGAUUAAUUCGAUGCAACGCGAAGAACCUUACCUGGUUUGACAUACACCGGAAAACCGUAGAGAUACGGUCCCCUUGUGGUCGGUGUACAGGUGGUGCAUGGCUGUCGUCGGCUCGUGUCGUGAGAUGUUGGGUUAAGUCCCGCAACGAGCGCAACCCUUGUCUUAUGUUGCCAGCACGUAAUGGUGGGGACUCGUAAGAGACUGCCGGGGUCAACUCGGAGGAAGGUGGGGACGACGUCAAGUCAUCAUGCCCCUUAUGUCCAGGGCUUCACACAUGCUACAAUGGCCAGUACAGAGGGCUGCGAGACCGUGAGGUGGAGCGAAUCCCUUAAAGCUGGUCUCAGUUCGGAUCGGGGUCUGCAACUCGACCCCGUGAAGUCGGAGUCGCUAGUAAUCGCAGAUCAGCAACGCUGCGGUGAAUACGUUCCCGGGCCUU